UACAGAGGGUGCAAGCGUUAAUCGGAAUUACUGGGCGUAAAGCGUGCGUAGACGGUUUCGUAAGUCGGAUGUGAAAUCCCCGGGCUCAACCUGGGAAUUGCAUUCGAGACUGCGAAGCUUGGGUGCGGAAGAGGGAAGCGGAAUUUCCGGUGUAGCGGUGAAAUGCGUAGAUAUCGGAAGGAACACCAGUGGCGAAAGCGGCUUCCUGGUCCAGCACCGACGUUCAGGCACGAAAGCGUGGGGAGCAAACAGG
rnacentral:rRNA from 1 species